rnacentral:ncRNA from 1 species
GACUGGGGUGGUACACCUGUCAAAGCGUAAUGCAGGUGUCCUAAGGCGAGCUCAGGGAGGACGGAAACCUCCCACGGAGCAGAAGGGCAAAAGCUCGCUUGAUCUUGAUUUUCAGUACAAAUACAGAUUGCCCCAAUAUCAAGG